UACGUAGGGGGCAAGCGUUGUCCGGAUUUAUUGGGCGUAAAGAGCGUGUAGGCGGCCAGACAGGUCAGCUGUGAAAACUCGAGGCUCAACCUCGAGACGUCGGUUGAAACCGUCUGGCUAGAGUCCGGAAGAGGAGAGUGGAAUUCCCGGUGUAGCGGUGAAAUGCGCAGAUAAUCGGGGAAGAACACCCGUGGCGAAGGCGGCUCUCUGGGACGGUACUGACGCUGAGACGCGAAAGCGUGGGGAGCGAAACAGG
rnacentral:rRNA from 1 species